UCGGAUUCAAGUUGUCUGACAAAUCCGGGUUGAACUAGGUCCCGAAACCCAUCACCCAAUUUAGGGUUUAAGGUCAAAUCCAGAAACGGGACAAAACCAUACUUGUUUGUGCGUCUUGUGAAGAUCGAUCAAGUGACGGUGUAGAGUGUGGACCAUCCGUGGAAUUUCAAAGGCGGGAUGGCUCUCUCCCGCCUGCAGUAUGUGACCGUUGUGGCUGGAUUCUCCGCCUUGUCUGCAUGGUAUGGCUUCAUGUUUGGCAAGGAGUCGGCACGAAAGGAGCUGGCGGACAAAGUGAGCGAUUUGAAAGCUACGAUUCAGAAGCUUGAGAGCCACGAUAAUGCUUGAGUAAUUGAAUGUCGAUGUGUUCGACGACAUAUUCCGGGACUUGUAGUGGGUGUCGCAAAAUCUUUUGCGAAGUCUAUCCAGAUUCAGGUUUGUUGAUUACCACACUGAAGAAUGUGGGCGAUGAAUAUUGCUCUGCCCUUGAUGGUGAAGGAACUUGACUACCAUUAUCGCAGGUUAAUGUUCAAACCCUGCUUAACACAAAGCUUCAACACAUAUCCCGAACAGGGCGGUGCUACGGCGUAGAACGAUCUAGUAGCUUCCGGAGAUAAGAUGUUGUCAAUCAUAUUCAUUGAAAAAGCGCAACUCCUUCCAGUAAUUGUUCCA